GGGGGAAGCGCCGCGAAGUAGAUUUUAAAUAAGGUAAAACAUUAUAAAUAAUAAAUAUUGGUUUAUUAUUUGUAUAUCUUUUUCUCCGUAGGAGUAGGAUUUAUUUAAAUUAAUAAAUUAAACGAUUCCUACUCCCCUCACAGUCACAACUGUAACUGUGAGGACUCCUUCCUUUUGCUCGCAAAAGCAAGAUGGAGCCUUCCUACGGACAGGGAGAAAGAGUCGGAGAAAAUUGAUUUGAUUAUUCAUUUAUUUGAGUAAUUAGUGUAGUUAUUCUUUAAUAUAUAAUUUUAUUAUAUUUUUUACUAGGUAUUUAACUGCUUUUUUUAGGUCUAAUUAGUUUCGACUAACCCAUCUGAGUAACAUCUCAAAAGUCAUAGCAAGGUA
rnacentral:rRNA from 1 species